UGGAGCAUGUGGUUUAAUUCGAUGCAACGCGAAGAACCUUACCUGGUCUUGACAUCCACAGAACUUUCCAGAGAUGGAUUGGUGCCUUCGGGAACUGUGAGACAGGUGCUGCAUGGCUGUCGUCAGCUCGUGUUGUGAAAUGUUGGGUUAAGUCCCGCAACGAGCGCAACCCUUAUCCUUUGUUGCCAGCGGUCCGGCCGGGAACUCAAAGGAGACUGCCAGUGAUAAACUGGAGGAAGGUGGGGAUGACGUCAAGUCAUCAUGGCCCUUACGACCAGGGCUACACACGUGCUACAAUGGCGCAUACAAAGAGAAGCGACCUCGCGAGAGCAAGCGGACCUCAUAAAGUGCGUCGUAGUCCGGAUUGGAGUCUGCAACUCGACUCCAUGAAGUCGGAAUCGCUAGUAAUCGUGGAUCAGAAUGCCACGGUGAAUACGUUCCCGGGCCUUGUACACACCGCCCGUCACACCAUGGGAGUGGGUUGCAAAAGAAGUAGGUAGCUUAACCUUCGGGAGGGCGCUUACCACUUUGUGAUUCAUGACUGGGGUGAAGUCGUAACAAGGUAACCGUAGGGGAACCUGC
rnacentral:rRNA from 1 species